UGUGCAGAGCUCCAUCGACGCCCAUCCCUCCUGAGGUCCAAGUCUUCUACACCUCCUCCUGCUCCUCCAGCAGCGAUGACGAUUCGGUGGAGCUCGUCUGCUUCAUCUCCGGCUUCACCCCGGCCACCGUCGAGGUGGAAUGGUUGGUGGACGGGAUCUCGGGUCUUCUGACGGCCACCCAGAAGAGACCGUCCCGGGAGGACGGAGCCACCACCUUCUCCACCAGCAGCCGUACCAACGUCAGUCGCUUAGAGUGGUUGGAGGGGAAGACCUUCACCUGUCAGGUCAAACAUCCGGCCACCGGGGUGGUCACCCAAGGUCACGCCCGUCUCUGCUCAGGCUUGGACAACCCCAACCUCAGCAACAUCUUCCUCUACGUUCUUCCACCCAACAUGGCCGACCUCUACAUCACCCGUAACCCGAAGGUCCACUGUUUGGUCACCAACCUUCCGAGCGACUCCGGGUUCCAACUCUUCUGGAUCAAGGAGAAACCAGGUCUUCUCAACCCGGACUUCUUGGACCUCCAAGAGCAGUUCAACGGGACCUACACGGCCACCAGCAGCUUGAGCAUCUCCACCCAAGAUUGGGAAGCUGGAGAACGUUUCACCUGCAUGGUGAAACACGACGAUCUCCUGGUGCCCCUCAACAAAAGCAUCUCCAGACGUUCAGGGAAGGUUUCUCCACCCCUCGUCUUCGUCCUCCCGCCCAAUCCCGACGAGAUGACCCAAACCAAGGUCACCCUCACCUGCAUGGUCCACGGUUUCCAACCCGAGAACGUCGCCGUCCAAUGGUUGAAGAACCAGGAGAACGUUCCCGAGGAGAACUACGUCACCACCCCGCCCCUGAAGGAUGGUCCUAAGGAGAGCACCUUCUACGUCUACAGCAAGCUGGUGGUCUCCAAGAGCAGCUGGAUGAGCGGGGACACCUACACCUGCAUGGUGGUCCACGAAGGGUUGCCCAUGAGGUUCACCCAACGACAGGCGCAGAAGAUCCCCGCUUCAAUAAAAGCCACCGGUCUGGUCUCGCACCACCGGAUCUCCACGGCGUGGUGUCUUUGGACGGUGACGGGUGGGUCGGGGACAACCCGGAGGUCGGGGUGGGAAGGGAAGGAGAAGGUCGGAGACGACGGAGAGGGUCCCACCGAGGUAAAGGUGGCAGAUGUGGCACCUCGGGUGGACGCGGCCUUGACCUAG